rnacentral:rRNA from 1 species
CAAGCUAUAGCCGGGUAGCGGUCGGGGAACGCGAGCAGGGGGCGGCAGGGCCUUGGUUUGGUCCGGCCGCUCAGCCGCUGACGCUCACCGCUCACUGCUGCCGGUGGAGCUCGAGCUUCCGCUCUUCUAGCUAGCACUGAGGAAGCAGCCUAACUCUAUCUAGCAGAGUCGACAUGGACAUGGCUAGCUAGGGCCCAGACUCCACUGGGGAUGUUCCGCCUACAGCAGAUCCUGCUGCCGGUCGUUCUCCUCCUACCAGCACCACCGUCCUAGCGAGCCGCGCGGCCACGACGGCCUGCUCGAGUGGCGCCUCCACGAGCACGCCGACGGGAAGUUCAGGUAGGUCGCGAAGGUGCGACACACGGCGAGGACCCGGCGCCACGAGAGGAGGCUGCUCAAGGAGUCGGAGAUGCAGUGGAAACCUUAUUUAUUCUACCUCCUCUUAACCGCGUGCUCCCGGAGUUUCAACAAACAGACUAACUAAACCAGAUAACUACCGUUUAAAGUAGACAGAAAAGGGAGAAAACGCUCCUUGUUCACU